UGGCGGACGGGUGAGUAAUGUCUGGGAAACUGCCUGAUGGAGGGGGAUAACUACUGGAAACGGUAGCUAAUACCGCAUAACGUCGCAAGACCAAAGAGGGGGACCUUCGGGCCUCUUGCCAUCGGAUGUGCCCAGAUGGGAUUAGCUAGUUGGUGGGGUAACGGCUCACCUAGGCGACGAUCCCUAGCUGGUCUGAGAGGAUGACCAGCCACACUGGAACUGAGACACGGUCCAG
rnacentral:rRNA from 1 species